rnacentral:rRNA from 1 species
CCCGAAAGAUCGAAUGAGGAGAUUCAUCGUCAGCGUGGUUAGUUUCCAUGUGUUUAGCGAUGGCACGCAUUCGCUUGGUAUAUCUGAUUACGUCGGCGUGCACUUCUCCUCUAGUAGAACGUUGCGACCCGCUGGGUGUUGGCUUAAGGACUGAGAUGUUGACUGUUUUCGUACGUUUACGCGUUCUGUUGACAGACACUUGGAUUUCUGGCUGACUGCUCGGCGGUACACACAAGGUAUUGAGCCGCACAUUUUGAAUGCGUUCAGACUCGUUUACAAGCUAAUCAUUGAAUAACUUGAGGGUGCGGACCUAGUGCCGUCCUUGAGGGUGUUUGGCUGUUGGUUUACGAUGUUCUCGAACUGGCUUAAUACCGGUCAGCAACGCUAUUGCUUUGGGUACUUUCAGGACCCGUCUUGAAACACGGACCAAGGAGUCUAACAUGUGCGCAAGUCAUUGGGAUAUAUUAAACCUAAAGGCGCAUUGAAAGAAAAGAUCGGCCUUGUGUCCAUUGAGGGAGGAUAGGUAAUAAUAAAAUAUUGCUUCGCACUCCCGGGGUGUCUCUUAAAGUCAUUGCGACUUGAGGCGCACCUAGAGCGUACACGUUGGGACCCAAAAGAUGGUGAACUAUGCCUGGUCAGGAUG